UACAGAGGGUGCGAGCGUUAAUCGGAAUUACUAGGCGUAAAGCGUGCGUAGACGGCUAUCUAAGUCGGGUGUGAAAGCCCCGGGCUCAACCUGGGAAUUGCAUUCGAGACUGAAUAGCUAGGGUACGGUAGAGGGAAGCGGAAUUUCCGGUGUAGCGGUGAAAUGCGUAGAUAUCGGAAGGAACAUCAGUGGCGAAAGCGGCUUCCUGGACCAGCACC
rnacentral:rRNA from 1 species